GACGAACGCUGGCGGCGUGCCUAAUACAUGCAAGUCGAGCGCAGGAAACUGACGGAACUCUUCGGAGGGAAGGCAGCGGAAUGAGCGGCGGACGGGUGAGUAACACGUAAGGAACCUGCCUCAAGGAUUGGGAUAACUCCGAGAAAUCGGAGCUAAUACCGGAUAGUUCAACGGACCGCAUGGUCCGCUGAUGAAAGGCGCUUCGGCGUCACCUUGAGAUGGCCUUGCGGUGCAUUAGCUAGUUGGUGGGGUAACGGCCCACCAAGGCGACGAUGCAGAGCCGACCGGAGAGGGUGAUCGGCCACACUGGGACUGAGACACGGCCCAGACUCCUACGGGAGGCAGCAGUAGGGAAUCUUCCACAAUGGACGAAAGUCUGAUGGAGCAACGCCGCGUGAGUGAUGAAGGUUUUCGGAUCGUAAAACUCUGUUGUAAGGGAAGAACACGUACGAGAGGAAAUGCUCGUACCUUGACGGUACCUUACGAGAAAGCCACGGCUAACUACGUGCCAGCAGCCGCCGUAA
rnacentral:rRNA from 1 species